UUAUUCACCCUACAACAACAAAAACAUUUAUCAAGUGAUAGUGCCAGUCAGCUCCUCAGGUAGAAAUACAGAACAUGCCCAGUCCAGACAUAAUGUGUGCUGACAGAUGUGACUGUAUGUAAGAGACCCAUUUAGACGGGUGUCACAGAUCCAUAGCCUUCCUCCACGCUCCAGGUGAUCCCAUUCUUAUUGUAGAAAUCAGAACGAAUGUGAGCAACUCGAGCAAAGCUCCUGCUCGAAUCAUAAUGAAGUGGUGAAAAUCUGCCGUACACGGAUGAGCACAGAACGGGUGCUGGUCUGGAGGAUUCCUCACUGAAGAUGUCCAGGCCUCUGGCUUUAGCAUGCUUUCUGUCAUCCCGGUGGAGUUUGUUGUCAAAGCCCUCAAUGCUCUGGUGCAAGCAAUCAUACAGAGACCUCUCUGGGGCCUUUAUGCUACAGUUGAAAUAUCGCAUUUCCUUUGGUUCAGUCCUUCUGGGUGGAAUAAAGCUGAAUACAGACAGAGUUGAAAGUGGUUUCGAUUUGGCUUCGGAUAAAACCUCCAUUACAGCGGUCGCAAUUUUAUAGCCGUAGAGCUGAAGUAAAUAGCUGCACAC
ensembl:processed_transcript